CUGAGAGGGAUCUUCAGCAGCUUUUCAGUACACAGGGAGAGGUUGUCGACAGCCACUUGGUGAGAGAUUUUCAUACCAAGGAAUCUCGUGGAUUUGCUUUUGUCACUAUGGCAACUACAGAUGACGCUGAGCGCUGUAUCAAGAAAUUCGAUCACACGGUUCAAUUUGAUCGGGUGAUAGUUGUGGAAAGGGUAAUAUUUAGCUACUGGUUUCAGAAUGAGUAUAACCAAAAAUUAUUUUUG
rnacentral:sRNA from 1 species